UACGUAGGGGCCAAGCGUUGUCCGGAUUUAUUGGGCGUAAAGAGCUCGUAGGCGGUUCGGCAAGUCGAAUGUGAAAUCUCCACGCUCAACGUGGAGGAGUCAUUCGAUACUGCCGUGACUUGAGUACGGUAGGGGAGUGUGGAAUUCCCGGUGUAGCGGUGAAAUGCGCAGAGAUCGGGAGGAACACCCGUAGCGAAGGCGGCACUCUGGGCCGAUACUGACGCUGAGGAGCGAAAGCGUGGGGAGCGAACAGG
rnacentral:rRNA from 1 species